rnacentral:rRNA from 1 species
UACAGGGGGUGCAAACGUUGCUCGGAAUCAUUGGGCGUAAAGCGCACGUAGGCGGUUCGUUAUGUCGGAUGUGAAAGCCCUUGGCUUAAUCGAGGAAGUGCAUCCGAAACUGGCGAGCUAGAGUACUAAAGAGGAUCGCGGAAUUCCCGGUGUAGAGGUGAAAUUCGUAGAUAUCGGGAGGAACACCGGUGGCGAAGGCGGCGAUCUGGGUAGAUACUGACGCUGAGGUGCGAAAGCGUGGGGAGCAAACAGG